GUCGAGCGAGGUUACUGUUUCGGAUCCCUUCGGGGUGAAGAAGCUUUAACCUAGCGGCGGACGGGUGAGUAACGCGUGGGUAACCUACCCCAAAGUCCGGGAUAACAGCGGGAAACCGCUGCUAAUACCGGAUGCCUUUACCUUGGGGCAUCUUGAGGUAAAGAAAGGUAACGCUUUGGGAUGGGCCCGCGUCCCAUUAGCUAGUUGGUGAGGUAACGGCUCACCAAGGCGACGAUGGGUAGCCGGCCUGAGAGGGUGGACGGCCACACUGGGACUGAGACACGGCCCAGACUCCUACGGGAGGCAGCAGUAGGGAAUAUUGCGCAAUGGACGGAAGUCUGACGCAGCGACGCCGCGUGAGCGAUGAAGGUCUUCGGAUCGUAAAGCUCUGUCCUUGGGGAAGAAGGCGAAAGCUUGACGGUACCCAAGAAGAAAGCCCCGGCUAACUACGUGCCAGCAGCCGCGGUAAUACGUAGGGGGCGAGCGUUGUCCGGAAUUACUGGGCGUAAAGGGUGCGUAGGCGGCCCUUUAAGUCGGAUGUGAAAGCCCGCGGCUUAACCGCGGAAUGGCAUUCGAAACUGGAGGGCUUGAGUGUCGGAGAGGGUAGUGGAAUUCCCAGUGUAGCGGUGAAAUGCGUA
rnacentral:rRNA from 1 species